UACGUAGGGUGCAAGCGUUGUCCGGAAUUAUUGGGCGUAAAGAGCUCGUAGGCGGUUCGUCGCGUCGGCUGUGAAAACCCGGAGCUCAACUCCGGGCCUGCAGUCGAUACGGGCGGACUGGAGUUCGGCAGGGGAGACUGGAAUUCCUGGUGUAGCGGUGAAAUGCGUAGAUAUCGUUUGGAACGCCAAUGGUGAAAACAGGUUGCUGGGAGUGUGCUGACGCUGAGACACGAAAGCCAGGGGAGCAAACGGG
rnacentral:rRNA from 1 species